AGUGAACGCUGGCGGUAGGCCUAACACAUGCAAGUCGAACGGCAGCACAGUAAGAGCUUGCUCUUACAGGUGGCGAGUGGCGGACGGGUGAGGAAUACAUCGGAAUCUACUUUUUCGUGGGGGAUAACGUAGGGAAACUUACGCUAAUACCGCAUACGACCUACGGGUGAAAGCAGGGGAUCUUCGGACCUUGCGCGAUUGAAUGAGCCGAUGUCGGAUUAGCUAGUUGGCGGGGUAAAGGCCCACCAAGGCGACGAUCCGUAGCUGGUCUGAGAGGAUGAUCAGCCACACUGGAACUGAGACACGAUCCAGACUCCUACGGGAGGCAGCAGUGGGGAAUAUUGGACAAUGGGCGCAAGCCUGAUCCAGCCAUACCGCGUGGGUGAAGAAGGCCUUCGGGUUGUAAAGCCCUUUUGUUGGGAAAGAAAAGCAGCAGGUUAAUACCCCGCUGUUCUGACGGUACCCAAAGAAUAAGCACCGGCUAACUUCGUG
rnacentral:rRNA from 1 species